rnacentral:misc_RNA from 1 species
GUUAUCAUUACUCGGUGCGCUGCAACUCGACCUGUAGGUAUGGUAUACCAUAUUUAUGGAGUGCACGGUGUGUUUUUGAUUCUUUGGUGUUUAUAUGCCGCGCGCAGGCGGAAAGCAGUUGAAACAUUUGUAAUUUUACGCUCAAUAUAGCAGAAAGUUUCCGGCAUCAUUCACAAUAAGCGGGAGAAUUCCUCUUGUUAUUUCUACACUAAAAGGCUGAGAGAGAGAUAUUUUAGAAUGAGAAUCAAACGGGAACUUGGUUUGAAAGUUUCUCGCCUCGUUCCCGAGUGUUUUUCUGCAACCCAUAAGAGAGAAAGAAGGACGUCACUUUCUCAGAGCCACUCUCAUUCCAUAACACGAGAGUUUUUGCCGAAUUUACGACCCCGGCUAACUCCGCUGGAAAUAAAGAACCGAACCUAAAGUCUUGACUCGAUAUGCCAUGUAACGUUUUUCUGGAGUAAAAAAGCAAUCUCAGGCAAAAAGUUUGAGCUUCUUUGUUGUACCUAAGCUCUACCCGGCACUUGCCACUUAAGGACACGCCACAAAAGUUAUGAGAAAGUAUCGAGUCAGGGGAGAAAAGUACCGACAGCAAUCAUCUCCGGAUUGUCCGGUCCGCACAAGGGUAGGAAGCGAGUCUGCAGGCGAAAGGAGGGGGAGGAACCGGCGUCGGAUGAAAUUGAACGAAACGUUGCGGUAAAUGGAAAGAGGAGGAAAAGGAGUGGGAAACAUUACGGGACGACGGCGAAACUCCGACGGAAAUAUAACGUCAAUGUGACAGACCUUGGUGUUGAACUGAUUGGCCCGGUAUCAUUCGAGGAUGGGUUCGUACAAGAUGUCAACUUGGUUUACGGCAGCCCUCAACACUUUACCUCCACAACGGGGACAACUUCAGGCACAGUGAACGGACGCAUAUUAUUCGAAAACAUUACGGUAUACCUGGAUUUGCGUGCAGAUCUUUCCCAAGGGAUGAAAAUCGGGACUAUCGUCGCGAAGCCCGAAACUUUCGCGUUCCAGCUGACAAUCUCAAAACCACACAAUGAGAAUAAUAUUACUUCAACCGUGUCAUUUUUGUUGUUAAGUAAUAUCGAAUGGGAUAUAGUUCCGGAUGACCUGAUAAUGAGGUUAAUACGAAGAAGGUUUGCCAUGCAAAGUGCGAUGCAGCCACAAGUGGUGAAUUUACUUCUUCCAACGGCUUACCAAUGGGAGCCCAUACUUUUAAAAUUUGUCGAAGAAAUUGUUCAGACGAUGGAGUUUCCACAGUUAGAUUUUUAGCCUUUCAUCAAGCUCUGUGUCAUAAGUAAGAAAGGAAAAAUCAUUCCUAACCGAUGCUGGAUAUCACGGCUGAGCUUUUCUGUAUAAAAUGUAUACCAUAAUAAGACUCCACUUCA